AUGGUUUUGUAUUGAACGGCAUUGAAAGUAAUACAUCAUUUUUUUCAGUUUAAUAUCUAAUACGUCCCCCAUCGGGGGACUACAUAUUAAAUAGAUUUUUCGAACAGGGAGUCGGAAAUGGGGCUUGCUCCGUCCGCUCCACGCAUCGACCCGGUAUUGCAGUACCUCCGGGAACGGUGCAAUACAU